AUGAACCAGUUUAGUAGCCCUUCUCUGAACUCUCUCUAAAGUAUCAAUAUCCUUCUUGAUACUUUAGAGAGAGUUCAGAGAAAGGCAACUAAACUGGUUCAUGGAU